UACGGAGCUGGAUGGCCCAUCCCACAAUGCACGGCGUUCCGCAAGAACGCCUGCGCGGACUCGCGGCAUUCCGUCGCCAGGCGCGCGCGGCCCUAGCAACAGUCAGCAAGUCGCUAUUGCCUGAACUAUGAAUGAAUCAGUGCUCAUUGUUGAAUUAAAUUACAAAAUGAGAGGACUCAUCAGAGGGAUAGAGGAGGAAGAAGAUAGAGGAGAAUGUGUGAUAUUGCGUACAAGGGAAUGACCGGAAGAAAUGAAAAACUGAAUUUAGAAGAAAUGCCCCAGAAGAUGAGCAGAUGGAACCCCAGAGGACCUGUGGGGGUCGGAUGGAAUUCCAGCCAGGCUCAAAAGAGCAACUCAGCCAGCCUGGGAAAGGCCAUUCCAAGUCAUGUUAACAACUCCAACAGUGAUAAAAAUUGGAGAAAAAACAUUGUGGAUCCAUUGCUCUCAAGUGAAAAGAGUACUUUCCAUCGGAAAUGAUUGACUGCAUACCUCAAGGAUAAGACUACAGAGACAACUGGACAUUAUUUUCAAUGACAUUGAACUCUUACACUUAUAUUUUUUUUCAAUAAAACAAGGUUUAAUUUUGAAAUAGAAUGAGUAAUAACCAAUAGGCAAGUGUAUAAUUUAUAUUAUAUUAUAGAAUUUUGCUUUAGAAAUGAUUAUUAUUAAUAUACUUUUAUAGUAUUAUAGAAAAGUUAAAAUAACUGAAUGAUAGUUAAAUGACAAAGUGUUAUAAGUGUUGGUCAACACCUACCUCAGGGGUGAUAUUGUAUUUAUAUAAUAUUCUUGUAUAUUUUUGUACAUAAUAAUUGUAAGUUGAAUUUGGAUUAAUACCUUUAGGUUCUUAUUUCUGUAGAGUAUAGUCAGGAUUGUGUUAUUUGUAAAUGUAAUUAUUUGUAAUUUUAUAACUAAUUAUUUGUAAUUGUAAUUUGAGACUUGUAUGUCGUAAGAUUUGUUUUGCUUUCUCUUUCUCUUUUAUUCUCCCUGUUUCUCAUAUUGGUAUAGCUUUCUAUUAGAAAGAAUUAAUAGUAUAGGCACAUUUGACUAGGGAAUAUGAGUGUAAGGUAGUUAUGUUUGAAAGAUCCAUUGGGGAGACUAGUCUCCCAAAGGAUCUCAGGGGAAAAUAUGUUAAAGGCAUUUAUUACUCUCUCACUGUCUCCUUAAGAGGCUAAAGAGCAGGAUUUCUAAAUAGAUCAGAAUUGACAAGAGUCAGUGAUGCAGAGCUGAAGAUUCCAUUACCAGGGAGACCAGGACUAAUGAAAGGAAGUAGCCUGCCCUUUGACAGGAUGUUAGGGGGUACAGUUGAUCAGUGAGGAGAUAAAGGAAGAAGCCAAUGACAGAUGGAGGUCUUUUGCCUCUGAGAUCUCUAGAGAGCAGGAGGUCUGUCUCUGAGGCAAGGGGCUACUGGCAGUUGGCUGCUGACAAUUGGACUGCAAUAGAAAACUGAUUAAAGGAGUGAGUGAGUGGUGACUGUCUAUUAUUUUAGGGAGUUAGGUAGUUAGUGAAUAAUUUAUAGAUAGAAUAGGUUAGAUAGGCCUGACAUGCCAGGCAGAAGAAACUGUCCUCAGAAGACAGAGAAAAUUUGUGAAAUUUUAGGUAGUAUUAGGAAUUUUAGGUAUAUUUAUAGGGUAUAAGAUUAAUAAUCUCUCCUCUUUUUUAUCUUCCUAUCUAUACUUCUUUCUUAAAUUAAACAAAGUUUCUGUUAAACUGC